rnacentral:rRNA from 1 species
UACAGAGGUCCCAAGCGUUGUUCGGAUUCACUGGGCGUAAAGGGUGCGCAGGUGGGUUGGCAAGUUCGAUGUGAAAGCCCCGGGCUUAACCCGGGAAUUGCCUUCGAUACUGUUUGGCUAGAGACCGGAAGAGGUAAGUGGAACUGCGAGUGUAGAGGUGAAAUUCGUAGAUAUUCGCAAGAACACCAGUGGCGAAGGCGGCUUACUGGUCCGGUUCUGGACGCUGAGGCGCGAAAGCGUGGGGAGCAAACAGG